rnacentral:rRNA from 1 species
GACGAACGCUGGCGGCGUGCCUAACACAUGCAAGUCGAGCGAGUGGAGUUCUUCGGAACAAAGCUAGCGGCGGACGGGUGAGUAACACGUGGGCAACCUGCCUCAUAGAGGGGAAUAGCCUCCCGAAAGGGAGAUUAAUACCGCAUAAGAUUGUAGCUUCGCAUGAAGUAGCAAUUAAAGGAGUAAUCCGCUAUGAGAUGGGCCCGCGGCGCAUUAGCUAGUUGGUGGGGUAACGGCUCACCAAGGCGACGAUGCGUAGCCGACCUGAGAGGGUGAUCGGCCACAUUGGGACUGAGACACGGCCCAGACUCCUACGGGAGGCAGCAGUGGGGAAUAUUGCACAAUGGGGGAAACCCUGAUGCAACAACGCCGCGUGAGUGAUGACGGCCUUCGGGUUGUAAAGCUCUGUCUUCAGGGACGAUAAUGACGGUACCUGAGGAGGAAGCCACGGCUAACUACGUGCCAGCAGCCGCAGUAACAC